GCCAGACUCCUACGGGAGGCAGCAGUGGGGAAUAUUGCACAAUGGGCGAAAGCCUGAUGCAACAACGCCGCGUGAAGGAAGAAGGGUUUCGGCUCGUAAACUUCUCUUAACAGGGACGAAAGAAAUGACGGUACCUGAAUAAGAAGCCCCAGCUAACUACGUGCCAGCAGCCGCGGUAAUACGUAGGUGGCGAGCGUUAUCCGGAUUUAUUGGGCGUAAAGCGUCCGCAGCCGGUUUAUUAAGUAUAGAAUAAAACUUCGGGGCUCAACCCCGUCUCGUUCUAUAAACUGAUAGACUAGAGUGUGGUAGAGGCAAGUGGAAUUUCUAGUGUAGCGGUAGAAUGCGUAGAUAUUAGAAGGAACACCAGUGGCGAAGGCGACUUGCUGGGCCAUCACUGACGGUCAGGGACGAAAGCGUGGGGAGCGAAUAGGAUUAGAUACCCUGGUAAAA
rnacentral:rRNA from 1 species